UACGGAGGGUGCGAGCGUUGUCCGGAAUCACUGGGCGUAAAGGGCGCGUAGGCGGUGCGAGAAGCGUGUGGUGAAAGGCCGGGGCUCAACCCCGGCUCGGCCGUGCGGACUCUCGCGCUUGGUGAGUGCUGUAGAGGCGGGCGGAAUUCCGGGUGUAGCGGUGGAAUGCGUAGAGAUCCGGAAGAACACCGGUGGUGAAGGCGGCCCGCUGGGCAGUGACUGACGCUGAGGUGACGAAAGGCGUGGGGAGCAAACAGG
rnacentral:rRNA from 1 species